rnacentral:rRNA from 1 species
UGGGGAAUAUUGCACAAUGGGGGGAACCCUGAUGCAGCAACGCCGCGUGAAGGAAGACGGUUUUCGGAUUGUAAACUUCUAUCAAUAGGGAAGAAAGAGAUGACGGUACCUAAAUAAGAAGCCCCGGCUAACUACGUGCCAGCAGCCGCGGUAAUACGUAGGGGGCAAGCGUUAUCCGGAAUUACUGGGUGUAAAGGGAGAGUAGGCGGCAUGGUAAGCAAUAUGUGAAAGCCUUGGGCUUAACCUGAGGAUUGCAUAAUGAACUAUCAAGCUAGAGUACAGGAGAGGAAAGCGGAAUUCCUAGUGUAGCGGUGAAAUGCGUAGAUAUUAGGAAGAACACCAGUGGCGAAGGCGGCUUUCUGGACUGAAACUGACGCUGAGGCUCGAAAGCGUGGGGAGCGAACA